rnacentral:rRNA from 1 species
GGGUAGCGGAACACGUACACAACCUUCCUUUAAGAGGGGGAUAGCCCAGAGAAAUUUGGAUUAAUACCCCGUAACAUUAUGAGAUGGCAUCAUUUUAUAAUUAAAGUUGAGGCGCUUAGAGAUGGGUGUGCGGCUGAUUAGGUAGUUGGUGAGGGUAACGGCCCACCAAGCCAACGAUCAGUAACUGGUGUGAGAGCACGACCAGUCACACGGGCACUGAGACACGGGCCCG